AUGAACGACAUGUCGAGGUGUGGACUCAUGCACUGUGUAUACUGGAGGAAAGCGAAUGCGGAGGAGGAAGCCCUGGCGCUGGAGGCCGCCUUGCAACGCGCCCUAGUGGAGAUCCAACACACUUGUUCCGCGCUGGAGGCCGCCUUGCAACGCGCCCUGGUGGAGAGCCAGCGCGAGCAGGACGGGCGCUGGGUUGGCAUGGAGGAAGCCCUGGUGCUGUCCGCGGCCGACGACUGCGUCAUCCCUCCUCCGUCGCUGCUGGCCUUCCUCCCCGAGUUGCAGUCCGCAGAGCGCGAGCCGGAGGUCUACCAGUCGACUGGCCAGCUCCGCGAGUGGAUCAGUGCGCCGCCCGUGUUGCUCGGGGCGACGCCGGAGCAGGAAGCCGCGUACCUCCAACAACAGAGGGCGCGCGCGCUGGCGGAUGAGUGCGCCGAAGGCGAGAGACAGAUGGAGCCGGUGCGCCGCUUGGCACGGGAGGCGGAGGAAGAACGCCUAGAGAGGGAGGAGGAGGAGCACAGCCAGCAAAACAGACGGCGGAGGAGGCCGCCUUCCCCUGGGUUCGGCCGGCGCUGGAGUUCAUCGACCUCACCGGCCCAAGGAGGAGGAGGAGGACGACAAUGA
rnacentral:rRNA from 1 species